AAGUGAACAGCUGCUGGGUAUUGAAACCAGCCCUCACAGUUGGGUGCCUGCCACCAUGGCAACACUCUGGUGUCUGAGCUGGAGUGGCCAAGGCACAAUGGGGUGGUUCCAUGGCCCAGAAGCACUCUGGCUACAGAUUAGCCUUACAUGUGUUCCUCACUACAUACCAGCCAGCUGGACCUGCCCUCAGCUACCUCAUCUCUCUCUGUGACCUGAUGACAGAAAAGCACAUGAUUCUCUUCACCUGACUUCAUAUAUGGGUCCAUGUCAUAUGAUACUUCAAAAUCUGUGAUUCCAUGGAGCCAAGAGUAGCUCUUCAAUAGGAAAUGAAUGAGUGCUUCAGCUGCUGAUCCCAUUAGUAAGAAAAUACAGUCUUAUGAGCAAUGAUGGAGCUGCAUCUCUUAGGGGUGUUUGAUUCCCAAGAGACCAAAGAGCAAAGAGAAUGUCAAUUUAAAAAAAUCUAAUGUUUCCAUGACUUAGCUAUUUAACUGCUUUAAAAUAAAUGAAUGCUGCUUCAAGUUCUUUCAAAUACCCCACAUCUUGGCAACAACGAAAGGAAUUAACAUGAAGAAAAUUUACAAUCCUUCAUCACAUCGAACAAUGUCCCACAUUUGAGAAGUUCACAGCACAGAUUUCUGGUGACUGAAAGAAAGGAAAGACCUUCUUUGGAUUUGAAUAAACAGAUGGACUUUCUUCUCCUUUUUCUUAUAGUGCCCCAUUUGUGUAAAGGGAGGUGGGAAGAAAAUAGCUUAGCUUAAAACAGUGUCCUAUAAAAUAAAAGGUUUCAUACUUGCCUAUAGCUAAUCUCUGAAGGUGGUUACGAAAGAGGAUUUCUAAAACAUUUUAUAUGCAAUGGCCCAGACAUUCGCAUAAGUGGUCAAACUUUCAAGAUGACAACUUAAAAAUAUAAUGCUCCUUUUGGACAAGCUUGUUUUUAAAAUAGCACCAUCAUUAACUUUGGCAAAUCCAAUUCUUAAAUAUCCUUUAAAAUAGUUGAUAAAAGAAAGAAGGUCUCAGAACUAUAUAAUGGUCGCAAUUCAUUUCUUAAAACCUCUUAUUUUGAAAUAAUUUUAGAAUCAUAGAAAGUUGCAAAUAUAGUAUAAGGAGUCCCAUGUGCCCUACAUGAUGACAUCGUAUAGAGGGAUAGUACAAUAUCAAAACCAAGAAAUUGACAUUGGCACAUUACUGUUUUUUUAAAUUAUACCUUAAGUUUUAGGGUACAUGUGCACAACGUGCAGGUUAGUUACAUAUGUAUACAUGUGCCAUGUUGGUGUGCUGCACCCAUUAACUCGUCAUUUAACAUUAGGUAUAUCUCCUAAUGCUAUCCCUCCCCCCUCCCCCCACCCCACAACAGGCCCCAGUGUGUGAUGUUCCCCUUCCUGUGUCCAUGUGUUCUCAUUGUUCAAUUCCCACCUGUGAGUGAGAACAUGCAGUGGUUGGUUUUUUGUCCUUGCGAUAGUUUGCUGAGAAUGAUGGUUUCCAGCUUCAUCCAUGUCCCUACAAAGGACAUGAACUCAUCCUUUUUUAUGGCUGCAUAGUAUUCCGUGGUGUAUAUGUGCCACAUUUUCUUAAUCCAGUCUAUCAUUGUUGGACAUCUGGGUUGGUUCCAAGUCUUUGCUAUUGUGAAUAGUGCCACAAUAAACAUAUGUGUGCAUGUGUC